UUUUAGCUCAUUGGAGUGUAGUAUCCUAUCUAAUUAGUAUUUUUAAAUCUAAUUAGAUAUAUUUGGAUAUUAUUUCAUAUUACAUAGGAACCUCGCAUUUAAUCAAGCCCCGAACCAACGUUUAGUGUUCGAAACAGUUGCGUCUUCUCGUCUGGUGAGUUCAUACCCCUACCCUUUUUCAAUGGUUUUUCAAUGUUUUCAGGGGGGAAUACAAGCAAAGUACAAGGGAUUACUUGUACUUAAAACUUGUUUUACAUGUGUAUGUUUCAAAACUUAUAUGCUUUUACUACUGAUAAUCACAACCGAUAACCGUUUGAAACUUGCAGGGUAAUCAUAUAUAUUAUUUGUGAAAUUAGUUAUACGUUGUUAUGUUUAUUAUUUAACAAAUGGUUUCCACAUUUUUUUUAUUAGUUAAAAAGCAUAACUUUAGAACCUUUGAACAUAAAACUUUAUACACUGUUUUGUCCUCGGCAACACUCCGCAUAGAUACGCGAGUGGAGGAUUAUCGUAAUAUUACUAGUAAAUUUGUUAGUCCUAUAUAAUUGGAGACACGUCCUCGGCGAACAUUCCACAGAGAUANGGAGCGUGACUUGAGUGUAUAGAUCUAUACGGGGCUGACUACCCCACACCUGGCUGCUAGCUACAGCCGAACCGAAAUGGUUCAAGGGUGACGAAAGUCAUAAGGUGAUGUGGACUACUUAUUGCCAUAUCUAGUCUAUUGUAUGGUUAUGGAACUCGCAAUUAGGAUAACAUAAAUUUACUUAAUAUUAAUAAUGAAUAAAGUAAUCAACUUACUUAGUAAAUAUUAGUUUUAUAUAUGUGUUAAAAACUAAUACAUUUCACAAGAUAACCAGGUUUUCAGAAUACAACUUUCACAUUUGGUAACCAACAUUCAGGAAAAUAUGGGAUUUUCCUGGGGAACAUUGUACAUAACCAGAAAAGUGCAACAAACCAGAUAACAUACAUUAGUAAGGGUAAACAUGUUUUCAAUGUAAAACUUUACAUUACGUUUUGGGAAUCAAUAACCAACCUUUUAAGAAAAUAUGGGAUUUUCCUUGUGUGUGUAACAUUUUCAGAAAACGGAAAGGAAACUUGUACAUUUUUCACAAAACAAAAUCGCUUAUGAACUCACCAGCAUUAUGUUGAUUUUCAAACCGCUUGCAUUCUCAGGUCAGUGUUAGACAGGUACCCGAAGAUCCUUUUGUUCGAAGACGGAGUGCUCAAAAGACCCGUUUCAUUUUGUUCAUAUAUACUAUGUAUCACAUGUACAACUUUACUUUUGAAACAAUUGUAAAACUUUUCUAUAUGUAAUGUAAUGGUUGUUUUACUUUACUUACUAUGUGCAUUGGAUUUGAUACUCAACGUGGAGUCAACCCCGGAAAUGUUUCCGCCUUCGGUUUUCGGGGUGUGACAGAUUGGUAUCAGAGCCCUUGUUUAUAUUGAAUAAAGUAUACCAAAGCUUACAUGGUAUAAAACUAUAAACGCUAAAGGUCCUAAGUGCUCUGAAUUAAAAGUAUCUUCAAACUAUAAGUAUUUUCAAAAGUAUACAAGUAUACCGAACCGUCGAGAUCCGUAACUACAAGUAGAACAAAACAUAAGUAAAUGGGUGUCGAACGUUGCGGUUAAACCUGGAUGGUUAUGUAGUCGUGUCUAGGAUCAAUAUAGCAUGGCCAACUAUAUUCAUUCGAGACACGGCCAAUAUGUGCUUGGGAGUGACUGUGGUAUGCGGCAUGCCUAAAACUUACCCUAAUACCACAAACAUCGAGCCAGUGUCGUAGCAAAUUAUGAAAUACUAUGGGAGUAUUUCUCGAAUGAAUCCUUUGUAGAAAUCCUCAUUCACGUAUAGAUCCUCGAUCAUUCCGUUAGCGAUAGUUUACCUGCUUUGAUAACUCUUUCCUGCUUUAUCGCUUAUUCGGAAUAUAUGUCUGUCAUAUCUCUCAAUUUGAUUCAGAGGACUUAUCAUCCUCUCUUUCUUGAUCUUAUUAGAUCAAGAUGCCUCCAAGAAAGAGACCCAGCUCAAAGACCAACAACCUUCCGCCACCACCUCCUCCUGAAUUUGACCCGGUGGUAUUUUAGGCAACUGUUACCGCCGCGGUGGCAGCUGCUAUGUCUCAAUUGAACACCGAUGGUUCCGGUGGUUCGGGAGGCAAUACUCAAACUCAGGAUCAAGAAAGCAAUCAAGGACACUGAAAGGAGGGUUCCUAUAAGGAUUUCAUGAAUGCAAAACCAACAUUUUUCGAUGGCACUGGAGGUGUCAUUUCCUUAUCCCGAUGGUUCGAGAAAAUCGAAUCCAUCUUUGAAAUCUGUGCCUGUGCGGAAUCUGAUAAGGUCAAGUUCGCAGCCUUUACCUUCAUUGAUAAAGCCUUGACUUAGUGGAAUGGCCGAUUCAAAUAUCUGACCCUACCCGUAGCCAACGCCAUGGGUUGGGAAGCCAUGAAAGAACUCCUGAUAGCCAAAUACCGCCCCCGUGGUGAAAUGCAGAAACUAGAGCACGAGCUAUGGAACCUGAAGAUGAAGGGUUCCGAUAUUGCUGCAUACACUUCUCGAUUCGAUAACCUCACACUUCUCUGCCCGGGAUUGGUCACUCCUGAAAGUAAAAAGAUAGAAAAGUUCAUCUGGGGGCUGACCCAGCCAACAAAGGGAAACGUCUUAGCUGCACGUCCGGAUACCUAUGAUAGUGCCAAGAGUUUAGCCCAAACCCUAAUUGAUCACAAUGAUGACGUCGAGGAAACCACCACCGCUCAUGAGCCGACCAAGAGGAGUGGUGAGAAAAGAAAGUUCUGGAAUAAGAAGGGUCAAUCUUCCCAAGGAUCGUCCAAGAGACAGCAGACUAUAGCAGUCCAUGCUGCUACUACGCCCGUUGCUGCUGCUUCUGUUGUGGGAUCCACAACUCCAACUCCCACUAGCAGAUAUGCAGGUAAUCUUCCUUUGUGUGACAAGUGCAAGUAUCACCACAACCCCGGCCCCUGCCGAGAAUUAUCUUGCACCAAUUGUGGUAAGAAAGGGCACACAGUCCGAUUCUGCAAAGCUCCGGCCCAAUCGGCAAAUCAAUCAUCUGGAGCAGGCUUUGGUCAAGCCUGCUAUAGCUGUGGAGAGGUUGGACAUUUUAAAAGGAAUUGCCCCAGGAAAUCAGCAGCUGAUAAUACCGGGAGAUCCCUAGCCAUAGGACGGGAGGAAGCAGUCGCCGAUCCCACUGUUGUCUCGGGUACGUUCCUUCUCGACAACUCAUAUGCUAGUAUUCUUUUUGAUUCGGGUGCUGAAAGAAGCUUUGUUAGUCAUUCAUUCAAACAUAACCUAAAACAUAAUCCCCAACCUUUAACUAAAAUGUUUACCGUCGAGAUGGCUAACGGUGAGAAAGAAAGCGCUAACGAGAUAUUCGUAGGUUGUACCCUUACCCUGAAUGAUCAUUCAUUUCCCAUUGAUUUGAUGCCAGUUUCCAUAAAGAGCUUUGAUGUCAUCAUUGGCAUGGAUUGGUUGAGUCCCAAUCAUGCUGAUAUCAUCUGUUUUGAAAAAGUCAUCCGUCUCAACCUUCCUUCGGAUCAAACUCUCGUAAUCUACGGCGAUAAACUCAGUUCCAAUCUUCGUAUCAUUUCCUACAUCAAAGCUCAAAAGCUCCUACGAAAGGAGUGCAUUGCAUUCUUAUCCCAUGUAAUCAAUGAGAAACAGGAAGUUAAAGACCUCGCGAGCAUCCCUGAAGUCUGUAACUUUCCUGAUGUAUUUCCCGAAGAGCUUCCAGGAAUUCCUCCCAAGCGUCAGGUCGAGUUCCGUAUUGACCUAAUUCCUGGAGCUACUCCUGUAGCGAAAUCUCCGUAUCGUUUAGCUCCAGCAGAAAUGCAGGAGUUAUCCAGUCAACUCAAUGAGUUGCUCAGUAAAGGAUUCAUUAGACCGAGUUCCUCACCCUGGGGAGCUCCUGUAUUGUUUGUCAAGAAGAAAGAUGGACCCGUCCGGAUGUGUAUCGACUAUCGCGAGCUGAACAAGUUGACCGUCAAAAACUGAUAUCCUCUUCCACGAAUAAAUGACCUCUUUGAUCAACUCCAGGGAGACAGUUACUUCUCCAAGAUAGACCUUUGUUCAGGGUACCAUCAGCUACGACUUCAUGAGAGUGACGUGUCCAAAACAACUUUCAGAACUCAGUAUGGACACUACGAAUUCGUAGUGAUGCCCUUCGGUCUAACCAACGCACCGGCAGUGUUCAUGAACCUAAUGAACCGGGUGUGUCGUCCUUAUUUGGACAAGUUUGUCAUUGUAUUCAUUGAUGACAUACUUGUCUACUCCAGAAGCGAAGAAGACCACAAACAGCACUUGAGGUUAGUGUUGGAAACUCUUAGAUCCAAGAAGUUGUACGCAAAAUUUUCCAAGUGUGAGUUCUGGAUUCGGAAGGUAACUUUCCUCGGCCACGUGAUAAGAGAGGAGGGUAUUCAUGUAGAUCCUUCCAAGAUUAAAGCGAUAGAGAAUUGGUCGGCACCGAAGACACCCACAGAAAUCAGGCAAUUCUUGGGUCUCGCCGGCUAUUAUCGGAGAUUUAUCCAGAACUUUUCCAGAAUCGCCAAACCUUUAACCACUCUAACACAGAAAGGUGUACCCUUUUGUUGGAGUGAAAAACAAGAAACCUCAUUCCAAACAUUGAAGAAAGCCUUACGCAGCGCGCCUGUUCUAUCCCUACCCGAAGGGACAGAGGACUUCGUUGUCUACUGUGAUGCGUCUAAUCAAGGCUUAGGUUGUGUGCUUAUGCAAAGAGGAAAAGUAAUUGCUUAUGCUUCUAGACAGCUAAAAGCACAAGAAGUCAACUAUACCACACAUGACUUGGAAUUAGGAGCCGUAGUCUUUACAUUGAAGAUUUGGAGACAUUAUCUCUACGGAACCAAGUGUACGAUCUUCACUGACCAUAAGAGCCUGCAGCACAUCUUUGAUCAGAAAGACUUGAACAUGAGGCAACGGCGAUGGGUAGAACUACUCAGUAAUUAUGAGUGUGAAAUCCGUUACCAUCCCGACAAGGCCAAUGUGGUAGCAGAUGCCCUUAGCCGAAAGGAGAGUUCAAGCCGAAAGGUGAAGACCCUGACGAUGACCAUCCAUUCCAACUUAUCCAUGCAAAUCCGAGAAGCCCAGUUAGAAGCCCUCAAACCCGAGAACGCGUCAAACGAAGCCUUAAGAGGAAUGGAAACAAAACUUGAGAUCAGAGGUGACGGAGUCUACUGCUUCAUGGAUCGAAUCUGGAUUCCAAAGUCCGGAGGAUUCAGGGAGAUUGUCAUGGAGGAAGCGCACAAGACCAGAUACUCUGUUCACCCGGGUUCGGACAAGAUGUACCUGGAUCUCAAGAAACAAUACUGGUGGCCAAAAAUGAAAGCUGAGAUAGCUAUGUUCGUGGGCAAGUGUCUGACUUGCGCCAAGGUUAAAGUUGAGCACCAGAAACCCUCGGGUCUGCUCCAACAGCCUGAGAUACCCGAAUGGAAGUGGGAGAUGAUUACGAUGGACUUCAUCACCAAGCUACCCAAAAGCCCAAGUAGGUAUGACACCAUUUGGGUAAUUGUUGAUUGUCUGACAAAGUCCGCCCAUUUCAUCCCAAUCUAAGAAUCAUUUAAGAUGGAAAGACUCGCGCGAAUUUACAUCCAAGAGGUAGUUCGACUACACGGUGUACCUGCGUCCAUUAUCUCCGAUCGAGAUAGCAGGUUUACCUCUAGAUUCUGGCAGUCCCUUCANCUCCUCUUGGAACCAAACUAGACAUGAGCACGGCGUAUCAUCCUCAGACCGAUGGACAAAGUGAGAGAACAAUCCAAACCCUGGACAUGCUUAGAGCAUGUGUAAUUGAUAUUGGAAAGUCGUGGGACACACAUCUACCUUUGAUCGAGUUCUCGUACAACAACAGUUACCACACCAGCAUCAGGGCUGCCCCGUUUGAAGCCCUCUACGGUCGUAAGUGCAGAUCCCCUCUGUGCUGGGCCAAAGUGGGGGAUACACAGCUAGCCAAGAGUCGAGUCCUCGACAGUGCUCUCACUGGUCCUGAAAUCAUCCGCGAAACCACUGAGAAGAUCAUCCAAAUCUGAGAACGAUUGAAAGCUUCACGAGAUCGCUAAAAGAGUUACGCUGAUAACCGUCGGAAACCUCUGGAAUUCCAGGUUGGAGACCGUGUCCUGUUGAAAGUCUCGCCAUGCAAAGGCAUGGUACGCUUUGGAAAGCAUGGGAAACUUAAUCCGAGGUACAUUGGACCCUUCGAGAUCCUUGCCAGGAUCGGUCUGGUAGCCUAUAAACUUCGUUUACCCCGUGAGCUCAGUAACAUUCAUCCCGUCUUCCAUGUUUCAAAUCUCAAGAAGUGCUUAUCUGAUUAAACCCUAAUGAUUCCCUUAGACGAGAUCGAGAUUAAUGAAAACCUCAACUUUGUGGAGGAACCGAUCGAAAUCAUGGAUCGAGAAGUCAAACGUACAAAGCAAAGCCGCAUCCCGUUAGUGAAGGUCCGCUGGAAUGCCAAGCGGGGACCAGAGUUCACUUGGGAGCAUGAAGACUCGAUGAAACACAAGUAUCCACAUCUCUUUCUAGAUCCAUGAUUUGUAUCUUGACUUGUAUCUUAAUUUUGAAUUUUGAGACGAAAUUCCCUCUAACGGGGGGAUAAUGUAACAACCCGAAAUUUCGUAUCAUUGCUUGUAACCCUUUUCGUAAUCCAUUUCAGUUAACCAAUCAUCGUUUUCAAAUUCGUUUCCGAUUUAGCCAUUUAAUUAAGUCAUUAAAAUAGAGAUUAUUUAAAAUGACUUAAUGGGUGUCCUAGUGCAUUUAGAACUCAUUCUAACACCCUGUUUUAGUAAUCGGAACAUUUAUAGACUCAGCCAUAUCGGGUUACGGCAACUUGGUCGGGUGCGACCAAAAGCCCCGUCUAACGUCGGUAUCGAGUAGAAUUCCACCGUGUCCAAAUCCAGAACACUAUUUAAAGUGUUCUAAACUUCCAUUUGAAGCUUUUGCUUCAUCUCACUACUCUCUCUCUCUAACCUCUCUCCUCAACCAAAGAUUCAAGGUCCAAAACAUUGAAUUAAGGCUCCAAAUCUUUGAGGUAACAUCCCCAACUUGUUGUUUAACCUCUUAGGCCUUCAAAUUCGUGUUUAAUUUAUCAAUUUGGACCUGGAACAUGCAUUUACGGCCAAGGAUCAUGCUUGGGCCAUAAACACAUAAAAACAUGGGUUUUUGAGCAAUUUAACCCCUCCAAACCAACAUUGGGACUUAGAUACGACCUUAUGGCUUACAAAUCCGGACUUAGAACACCCUAACAUGAAUUUUGAGGAGCAAAUAAGAGUUUACGGCCAAGGAACAUGCUUGGGCCGUAAACUCCUCAUUCAUGGGGAGUAAACUCAUUUAAACAUGUUUAAAAGGCAUAUAACUACGCCAAUAGCCUUGGAAUAAAUCCUAGAAUCAUCUAAAAAUAGUUUGAGGACCUUAAACAUGUCAAACACCCUCCAUUUAGGAGUUUAUGACCAAAGCUUCGCAAGAAAUAGUUCCAGGGCCGUAAACUCAUAAAAACAUGUUAAAAGGUGCCCUAAACUCAUACCAAGGCUUGGAAAAUUAGUUAGAAUCACAUGUGAUUGUCCUAGCCUUCCAAAAUAAUUAUGGUUUGAGCUUGGGGGAGUUUACGGCCGUAGACUCCAAUUUUACUGCCGUGAACUCCCAUAAAUAAUAUAUAUGCUAGUACAAUCCAUUCCAAGGCUUUAGAAAAAUCCAUUCCAUCAUUCCCCAUGUUCAUUUAAGCCAUUUAGCACCCCAAAUCAACCAAUCAUGAGUUCACGGCCGUGAACUCAUGUAUGUAUGGGGUAUAUGGCCGAAAACUCCAUAAGGAGUUUACUCUUGAAGAGUAAACUUAAUUCCCAAGUCCCUCGCAUCAUUACACGUCCGUAGAUGUCACCCGGGUCACUCCAAACACUCGUUUUGAAGUGUUUUAGCUCAUUGGAGUGUAGUAUCCUAUCUAAUUAGUAUUUUUAAAUCUAAUUAGAUAUAUUUGGAUAUUAUUUCAUAUUACAUAGGAACCUCGCGUGUAAUCAAGCCCCGAACCAACGUUUAGUGUCCGAAACAGUUGCGUCUUCUCGUCUGGUGAGUUCAUACCCCUACCCUUUUUCAAUGGUUUUUCAAUGUUUUCAGGGGGGAAUACAAGCAAAGUAUAAGGGAUUACUUGUACUUAAAAAUUGUUUUACAUGUGUAUGUUUCAAAACUUAUAUGCUUUUAAUACUGAUAAUC
rnacentral:lncRNA from 1 species